GAAAAGAGAGGAAACAGCCUUGUACUAGAAUCUAGAAAGGCCCAGCACUGCGAGCGCUCCUAUCUCUCAUACAUUUUAUGUUUCCGCAGGCUCUGGGGUCAGACUGCUUAAAUGUGAAUUCUAACUUACUUGUGACUCUGGGCUAGAUGUUUAACCUGCCUCAGUGUCCUCCUCUGUCGAAUGGGAGGGUAAUGACAGGAUCUCUCUCCAUGGGCAGCCGUGAAGAUUUAGAUGAAUCCAAACAUGCGCAGCAUCUAGAGCUUGGCACAUGCUCCCCAGGUCCUGGGCGAGUCCUACCACGGAAGACCAAGAACUUGGAAGCCUCCCCAUCCGCAGGCAGGGGCACUGCCAGCAAGCCACAGGUGGGCACCGCAUGAGCAGUCCGGCGGGUUAGGAGAGUUUUAGACACACGAGGGUCCGAGCCUCGGGAACCUGGAGGAGAAAGGUCAAGCAGCAUCAGGAAGGGAGGCCUGCGCUCGGGUCCAGGUGGCCUCGGUGCCCGGGGAGGGGGGCCCGGGCCGGGCUGCGUCCCUGCAUCCCAUCGGAACCGGAGUGGCACCUUGCAGGGCGGUGGCCUGCACAGACACCCAGGACACAGGGACAGGGAGCCCCGUUCGAGAAGAUGCCCUGCUUAUUCCCUCCCGGCUCCCUGCUCACGGCCUUUCACCUUUUCAGGACGCAAGCUGAGAGCCAUCCUAGCCUGGCGUCCCAAGUGACACGCUGCCCGCAGUCGCAGCAAGGCCCUUGCACUCCUGCAACCCCGCUCGGGCCUCACCCGCAGGCAUGGUGACAAAGCCCACCGAGCCCCCAGAGGACGUACAUCUGGAGAGCCCAGCUCUGCAGAGGGCCCGAGGGGCCUGGGGGGGCCCAGUCGGCUGCUCAGCUCACCAUCCGGGGUCCCCGGGGAGCCCGAUGCGCGGGGACCUGCUCCUCCCUCUCCCUCUGGCCUUCUCUCCACUCAUGCUCUAGGUCUCUGUCUCCCUCUCUCAAAUAAAUAAAUAAAAUCUUAAAAAAAAAAAAAAAAAAAAGCCCAGACAGCUGCUGGUCCCACUCAUAGAGGCUACAACUCAGACCCCACUGGAUUUAGUGGCAGGUGCAGUCUGGCCUUGAGAAGCUGGAUCUUGCCCCCCGGAUGGGAACAAAGGUGGAUGCCUUGACACGGGGCUGCCGGCUGCCUCCAGAGCUGGCCUUGCUGCUGACCACUCAUGUGGUCACCAUGUCCUUCAGCCUCCAGUGGCCGUGAAGCCGAACUCAUCAUUCUUGGGGAAAAGGACACAGACCGGGUUGAAACGAACCGCUAAAGGUUACAAACUGACUCACGUGAGGAUUAAAACCCAAAGCCCAUGAUGGGUCCCGUCGAGGAAGCACUCGACAGCGUUCAGACUCUGAACAUUGUCAGACUUCUGCAGUGCUUUUAAGGAAAGGGCAAGUGACUUUGGCAUUUUGGACACAGAGCCUUUCUGAUGUAACAGACCUGAGUAUCACGCUAUGUUAUAUUGAUCGCAGUGACUCCAAAGGGAACUAUAUACUCAUUUUACUUUGAAA